CAUCUACUCCCUCCGUUCCAAAUUACUCGUCGCUGAAAUGGAUGUAUCUAGAACUAAAAUACAUCUAGAUACAUCCAUACGUGCGACAAGUAAUUCGGAACGGACGGAGUAGAAA
rnacentral:pre_miRNA from 1 species